rnacentral:rRNA from 1 species
GACGAACCGUGCGAACGUUGUUCGGAAUCACUGGGCUUAAAGGGCGCGUAGGCGGGCGGUCAAGUCAGAGGUGAAAUCCCCCGGCUCAACCGGGGAAGUGCUUUUGAUACUGGUGGUCUCGAGUGGGGUAGGGGCGUGCGGAACUUCCGGUGGAGCGGUGAAAUGCGUAGAGAUCGGGAAGAACGCCGGCGGCGAAAGCGACUCUCUGGUCGGAAUCUGACGCUGAGGUGCGAAAGCUAGGGGAGCAAACGGG